GGAGCCCCUGACUAAAGGCACCGUAUCCGCGCAGCCCUGGUAUGACACUGAGCUGAACCCCUUGCACACCGUUGGUGCUGUGGUUCCCAGUGUUCACUGGAUCACUGAGGGCCAGAAGCAUAGCAGCCCAUAUAUUCCCGACCAGCCGUCAGCCUGAGCAGACUGGGGACCGGCUGCACCCGACAUGGCACAGGGGACCAUCCAAAGACAGACCCUGCAGGCCACAGACGGGCAGAGAGGAACCUGACUGCUGGAGACGCGAGGGAGAAGUGGAUGGUCUCUGCGUGACCUUCAGUUCCUUCCAAACCGGAUACCACCAGGGACACCCCAACCCAAACCCUGGUGUUUCAGGUUUCAUUAGUAAAGGGCACAUGAUGCUCUUCUUGCCCAUGCUCUAGACCUCACCACUGUCUGCCAAAGCUUCAGUGACAGGGCGUUUGUUAAGAAGAAUCAGAAGCACCCGGCGGUGGUGGUGCCACAAACCUUUAAUCGCAGCACUCAGGAGGCAGAGGCAGGUGGAUCUCUCUACAGAGCAAGUUCCAGGCCAGACAGGACUACACAGAGAAACCCUGUCUCAAAAAAUGAAGAGGAGGAGGAGGGAGGAGGAAGGAGGAGGAGGGAGGAAGGAGGAGGAGGUGAAGCAAUUCUUUCACAUUACAGCUGUGAUACAAAUCAGAGCAAACACUUAACCAAAGCUGAAAAGGAAGUUUUACGUUUUUUAAGUUUUAAGAUCAUCCAGGAAAAAGAAAUAUCCUCGGGGAACUCUGCAUGUUCCUGGAGCUCUAGAAGACCAUGUGUGUGUCCUUGCACAGGAAAGCCCCAGGAGGACAUCGCUGUCACAUCUGACUUUGAGUCUCUUCCCAAGCAAGAAGCGGAGACUAAGGCAGAGUCACAAACUACUGAGAAAUGCUUCUCACCUGGUAAAGGCUCAGGUGAGCGGUCUGAAUAUGGACAACCUCAAAAGAUGCAAAGAAAGCGAACUCACACGCGGUCCUUAAGGAAGUUAACUGCUGUCUUUCACCGGAAACUAGUAAAACCUGGAAGAAGUGGGAUUAUUUUCCAAAACACAGAAGCCAGGAAGCAAUCAACCAAAAAUUCUGUAUCCAGCAAAACCAUUCAUGAAACGUGAGGGAGAAAUGAAGGCCGACCCAGAUGGACAAGGACUCCAAGUUCUCUCAGCAGAGCUGUCCUUUAUGAAAUACUAAUUUGAGACCUUUGUGAAAUAAGAAGACAUUAGAUGUUCACUCAACCCACAUAAAGAAAUAAAGAACACCUAUAUAACUAGAUGUAAAAGACAGCUUAAAUGUAUUUUUGUCUAAAUCAUAACUACACAAAGCAUUGAUUACAAAACUGUGGUAAUUACAAAGACGUAAUUAAUACCACAAUAAAGACACAGAGGACAGGAAGGGAGCAGAGAUACACGGUGACAAAGAGUUUAUGCCACUGAAGACAGUAUUAAUCAGAACUUUGAGAUAACUAACGUAAAAUGCUAGAAACAUCACACUAGAAAGCGUCUGUUUAACAAAGAAAAAACCCAGUAACGUAUAAAUAGGAUAAAACCACCACCACCACCAAAACAAGUAAGGGGUACAGAAAACAAAUAGUAUUUUUUAUAAGAAAUAUAAUAAAUAAAUAAAUAAAAAUUUAAAAAUAAAUAAAUAAAAAUAAAACAAAACAACUUACAUACGAGACCUUAUCGGGGCUGGUAGUGGUUGCUUAUAUAUUCAGGAUUGCCAUGAGUUCAAGGUCAACCUAGACUACACAAUCCCAAGUCAGCCUAGGCUACAGCAUGGGAAUCCUGUUCUCCAAAAACAAACAAGCAAAAUAACAAAGCUACCAUAGUAGCAAUUACAUUCACUGUAAACAAUGUAAAGAUUGACUACUUAAACAAAAAAGCAAAGAUAAGUGAAUAGAUCUUUUCACAAAAUAAAAGAACAUCAGAAAAAGCAUCAGAUCAUCUCCUAUACUACAUGAAGAAAUGAAGAACACUUAUAGAAUUAGGAAUAUAAGUCAGCAAAUGUGUACUUAGCUCAGUCACCCAGAGGAAUCAACUGGACCAAACACAUCUAUAGAAUGCACCACCCAGCAAUGGCAGACUACACAUUCCUCUCAAGUCAACAUAGGAUAGACUCCGGAAUACAUAAUAGACUAAUUUAUAAGCAAGCCUUAGACAUUAUGAAGAAGUGACUAAAAAUAUAAAGGUAUGUUUACUGAUUUAUCAAAUUAGAAAUGAAUAAAAAGGAAGUCUGGGAAAUAGACAAUGACGUGGGACUAGAUAGAAUUCUGAAAAACUCAGAGAAGCCACAGACAUUUUGAAAAGCUUAAGAGCUGAGUGUGAUGGCAUGUAUCUGUGGUCCCAGCACCGAGGGGGCAGAGGCAGGAGGAUUUUAACUUCCAGACUAGGAUGUGUUGUGAGAUUUUGUCUCAAACAAACGAAAUCCAACAAAACAAAACAAAAAAAUUUGGAGGAGAAAACUGAUAAUACAGCAUACCAAAAUGUAUAGAUUGCAGUUGUGAACCUAGAAGACACAGUCCUAAAUGUCUAUGUGGGAAAAGAAGAUCUCAGUAACUUAAUCCUGCACAUGAAGACACUGGACAAGGGCAAGCCAAACUCAAGUUGAACAAAUGGGAUGAAAUUACAAUGGAAAUAAGUGAGGAUUAGGGACACAGUAGUGGAAACUAACACAAAGAUGCUUCGUUUAAAGGAUGUGGGGGGAGGGGGUUUGUUGGAGACAUAGUUCCGCAGUUAAGAGCACUGGCUGCUCUUCCAGAGGACCUGGGUUCAAUUCCCAGCACCCACAUGGCAGCUCAUAAAAUAAAAAUAAAUUAAAAAAAAUAAAAUAAAAGAUAGCCAGCCAGGCUUCACAGACUUUAGGUAGACGAGUCAGGACAAAGAAGACAGCUCAGGUCACUGCCGCAGGAAUGAAAGUGUGGACAUCACUACCGAUCUUACAGAACAAAAUUACCAGGCAAUGAUAUGAACAGCUCACUGUCAAUAAACUAGGUGAGUCAGAUGAAACAAAAAUUCCUUGACAGACAAACAGCCCGAGAGAAACAAAAUGUAAACAAACCUUUAACCAAUAAUAAGUAUUUCUGAAAAGAAAGCCAUGGGACCACCUGGCUUUAAUGAUGAAUUCUAUCAAGCACAUAAAGAAAAAAUAGCACCAACUGUUCACAGACUUCAAAGAAAUAGAAAAGAAUGUAUUCUCAAUUCCUUCUACAUAGUCAGUAUUCCUGAGAUACUGAACACAGAGGUAUCUCAAGAAAACUUCCAGCCAAUAUCCCUAAUCAAUGCAGACUUUAAAAAGUCUCAAAAAAAAAAAAAAAAACCACUAGAGUGUGGUGGCACACAUUUUUAAUCCCAGCACUAAAGCAGAAUGCUGGGA